rnacentral:rRNA from 1 species
GACGAACGCUGGCGGCGUGCCUAAUACAUGCAAGUAGAACGCUGAAGGAGGAGCUUGCUUCUCUGGAUGAGUUGCGAACGGGUGAGUAACGCGUAGGUAACCUGCCUGGUAGCGGGGGAUAACUAUUGGAAACGAUAGCUAAUACCGCAUAAGAGUAGAUGUUGCAUGACAUUUGCUUAAAAGGUGCAAUUGCAUCACUACCAGAUGGACCUGCGUUGUAUUAGCUAGUUGGUGGGGUAACGGCUUACCAAGGCGAAGAUACAUAGCCGACCUGAGAGGGGGAUUGGCCACACUGGGAAUGAGACACGGCCCAGACUCCUACGAGAGGCAGCAGUAGGGAAGCUGCAGCAAUGGACGGAAGUCAGACCGAGCAACGCCGCGUGAGUGAAGAAGGUUUUCGGGUCGUAAAGCUCUGUUGUAAGAGAAGAACGCGUGUGAGAGUGGAAAGUUCACAGUGUGACGGUAUCUUACCAGAAAGGGACGGCUAACUACGUG